CGGGUGUAAGAUUAAAUCAGUAAGUUGUAGCCUUAUAUAUCUAGUAUUAGACUAGACACCUGA
rnacentral:tRNA from 1 species